rnacentral:rRNA from 1 species
UUAAGUCCAGCAACGAGCGCAACCCUCGUCCUAUGUUGCCAGCGGGUAAUGCCGGGAACUCGUGGGAGACCGCCGGGGUAACUCGGAGGAAGGUGGGGAUGACGUCAAGUCAGCAUGGCGGUUACGCCUGGGGCUACACACAUGCUACAAUGGGCGAAACAAAGGGCAGCGAAGCCGCGAGGUCGAGCUAAUCCCAAAAAUACGCCCCCAGUUCAGAUUGCAGUCUGCAACUCGACUGCAUGAAGGCGGAAUCGCUAGUAAACGCAGGUCAGCUAUACUGCGUUGAAUACGUUCCCGGGGUUUGUACACACCGCCCGUCAAGUGAUCCGAAUCGUCUUCACCCGAAGUCCGUGGCCUAACCGUAAGGAAGGAGCGGCCGAAGGUGAGGGGGGUAAGGAGCACUAAGUCGUAACAAGGUACCCGUACCGGAAGGUGUGGGUGGAUCACCUCCUUA